rnacentral:tRNA from 1 species
GCCCCCAUCGUCUAGAGGCCUAGGACACCGCCCUUUCACGGCGAAGGCACCGGUUCAAAUCCGGUUGGGGGUACCA